rnacentral:rRNA from 1 species
GAUGAACGCUGGCGGCGUGCUUAACACAUGCAAGUCGAACGGAAAGGCCCUGCUUUUGUGGGGUGCUCGAGUGGCGAACGGGUGAGUAACACGUGAGUAACCUGCCCUUGACUUUGGGAUAACUUCAGGAAACUGGGGCUAAUAUCGGAUAGGAUCUCCUGCUGCAUGGUGGGGGUUGGAAAGUUUCGGCGGUUGGGGAUGGACUCGCGGCUUAUCAGCUUGUUGGUGGGGUAGUGGCAUACCAAGGCUUUGACGGGUAGCCGGCCUGAGAGGGUGACCGGCCACAUUGGGACUGAGGUACGGACCAGACUCCUACGGGAGGCAGCAGUGGGGAGUAUUGCACAAUGGGCGGAAGCCUGAUGCAGCAACGCCGCGUGCGGGAUGACGGCUUUCGGGUUAUGAACCGCUUUCGCCUGUGACGAAGCGUGAGUGACGGUAAUGGGUAAAGAAGCACCGGCUAACUACGUG